rnacentral:rRNA from 1 species
UAGAGUUUGAUCAUGGCUCAGAUUGAACGCUGGCGGCAGGCUUAACACAUGCAAGUCGAGCGGUAACAGGAAUAGCUUGCUAUUUGCUGACGAGCGGCGGACGGGUGAGUAAUGCUUGGGAAUAUGCCUUAUGGUGGGGGACAACAGUUGGAAACGACUGCUAAUACCGCAUAAUGUCUACGGACCAAAGGGGGGGAUCUUCGGACCUCUCGCCAUUUGAUUAGCCCAAGUGAGAUUAGCUAGUUGGUAAGGUAAUGGCUUACCAAGGCGACGAUCUCUAGCUGGUUUGAGAGGAUGAUCAGCCACACUGGGACUGAGACACGGCCCAGACUCCUACGGGAGGCAGCAGUGGGGAAUAUUGCACAAUGGGGGGAACCCUGAUGCAGCCAUGCCGCGUGUGUGAAGAAGGCCUUCGGGUUGUAAAGCACUUUCAGUUGUGAGGAAAGGUGUGUAGUUAAUAGCUGCAUACUGUGACGUUAACAACAGAAGAAGCACCGGCUAACUUCGUGCCAGCAGCCGCGGUAAUACGAGGGGUGCAAGCGUUAAUCGGAAUUACUGGGCGUAAAGCGUUCGUAGGCGGUUGAAUAAGCAAGAUGUGAAAGCCCAGGGCUCAACCUUGGAACUGCAUUUUGAACUGUUCGACUAGAGUACUGUAGAGGGGGGUAGAAUUUCA